AGAAGCGCGCGCACAAAGGCAGGUUCGCGCUCCUGGUCGGCUACAAGCACCUGACGGAGGGGAUGCGAGGCCGAGGGUGGCGUCAGGCUGUGGACCGCAGAGCGGAGGCUCUCCACCCUGUUAAUACAGGCGUCCAGCGCUUUGAACUGAAUCUCGGGGGUCUUGGCCCUCUGUUGCCCACCGCUUUGGGAUUCCCUGCGUUCUAGAAGUCUGAGGAGUUACUUCACACAGCAGAAAGACGGACGGCCCCCGCCGUGAGAAUUACAGGUCUUUGUUCCAAGGGGAGGAAUGUUUCUACCAGACGAUACAACAAUGAUUCCACUGAACUGGAAAUUAAGACUGCCGACUGGCCACUUUGGGUUCCCCAUGUGUCUGAAUCAACAGGCAAAGAAAGGAGUUACUGUGCUGGCUGGGGUGAUUGAUCCUGACUACCAAGGGGAAAUUGGACUACUCAUCCACCAUAGAAGGAAAGAAGAGUAUGUCUGAAAUACAGGGGAUCCCUUCGUAUUACCAUGCCCUGUGAUUAAGGCCAAUGGAAAACUACCACAACCCAACCCAGACAGAACAACUAAUGGCUCACAUCCUUCAGAAAUGAAGAUUUGGGUCACCCUAAUGGUAAAGAAUCAUGCAUGACCACCUGAGAUGCUGGCUGAAGACAAAGGGAAAACAGAAUGGGUAGUGGAAGAAGGUAGUUAUAAAUACAAGCAAUGACCAUGUGAGUAGUUAUAGAAGUGAGGACUAUAAUUGUCAUGAGUAUUUAUCCUUACUUUGUUAUGCAUGUGUGUGCGUGUAUUUCACAAAUACCUUUGUUUUCUUCCCUCUUGUAUUUCCUUAUCAUAUAAUGUAAGAUAUAUUGACUUUAUGUCAUAAUAUUUAAGUAUUGUUAAUUUUAGAUUAUAGAAUUUGAAUUAUGGGAUAUCAAGAAGAGUGAACAUCAUUCAACAAUAUUACCUCCCUUUCAAGGGAAAGGGUUAGUAUGUUUUUGGUUUAUGCAAGAUAUUAUAUCAUGUUAGGUAGAAUUAUGACCUUGUUAUUGUCAUUAUUUAGAGACAUCUCCUUGGUUUAAGGAGAUGCAUAUGGGUUCCAAGUUGACAAGGGGUGGACUUCUUUCUGAUGGUUAAUUGUAUAUAUCAACUUGACUGGGCCAUGGAGUGCCCAACAUUUAGUCAAACAUUAUUUUGGGUUUGUCUGUGAGGAUGUUUCUAGAUAAGCUAACAUUUGAAUGAGUACACUGAAUAAAGCAGAUUGCCCUCCCUAAUUUGGGUAAGCUUUACUGAGUCAAUUGAAGACUUAAGUAGAACAAAAAGGCUGGGUCAGAGGGGACUCCUCCUGCCUGAUUGCUUUGAGCUGGGACAUUGAUUUUUUUUUUUUUUUUUCUGCCUUAAGACGAACUGAAACAUCAGUUCUUCUUGGGUCUUAAGUCUGCAAACUUGUGGACUGGAACUGAAACCAUUGGCUGUUCUGGUUCUUAGGCCUUCUGACUCACAAUAUAACUACACAUCAGCUCUUCUAGGUCUGUAGCAUGCCAACUGUAGAUCUUGGGUCUUUUCAGCCUCCAUAAUCAUGUUAGGCAAUGCUUUAUAAUCCAUCUCUCCUCCCCACUCUAUAUCUAGCUCUCUCUCUCUCCCUCUCUCUCUAUAUAUCCUAUUGGUUCUAUUUCUCUGGAGAACCCUAACAGACAUAUUUUAAUUAUAUUUUGAAAUGUGAUUGCCCUACUUAAAAAAUCUUAUUAAUUGUUCAAUGUUUAUUAAUAACCAUAUAUGGAUUUUAUGUAUCUUUUGAUAGUUUCAAAGUAUGUUUUAUUAUUAUUUGUUAUCCAUUUAAUUUGUUGGGAUAUAUAGAUUGCUAAAGAAAUGAAAAGAUGCUAUUUCUAUACAGUAUGCCUUCUUUAAAUCAAGUUUUAAGUAUUCUUCAAGAAGCAUAGAAGGAUGAUAACAAGUAGUACUUGCUCCAAAUGUUGCCAUAGGUGAACUGGACAACAUGAACUUCCUGAGACAUGGACAUUCAUAGACUUACCUUGUUUGUAACAUUUGCUUCCUUCUGCCUCUGUUGUCAUGUACACAGUGAACGUGACUUACUUACAAAGAAGGCAGUGUGAAAUUGUUUGCUAUGUUUCUUUUGUAACGGAUUUUAUUUUUCUUCCAAUUUUAGUCCUGCCUAAUUGUUCCAUUCAAGUAAAGUCAUUUAAUCUC